CAGGGCUUUAGAUGCCUUCUAAAAGUCAAAUAGUUGUUUAUCUCCUUGACAUCUGGUGGGAGAGCAUUCCACAGGGUGGGCGCCACCACCGAGAAGGCCUUCUUGCCUGGUUCCCUGUAACUUGGCUUCUCGCAGUGAGGGAACCACCAGAAGGCCCUCGGAGCUGGACCUCAGUGUCCUGGCAGAACGAUGGGGGUGGAAAUGCAGUGGUCACUCAGCGCUACCUUCUGACAUAGCAUCAUUAGGUAGGAGCAUAUUGUCCUCCUGACCCUCUGCCUUUUGGACUUAAGUUCCCUAGUCUUUCCUGCUGCUGCAUCCUGUCAAAACUAACUAUCCUUCAUAUACCAAGCCCCCUCUUUCCUGUCAAAACCACACUCUCCUUCCUGUUCCCAGCCCCCUUUCCUUUGGCUCCUCUUUUCCUCAGCUGCUUGUUUCUCUUCUCUUUCUCUUUUUUAGGUCUUUGGUUCUUCCAUCCAUAUCUAAGGUCUUUGCUCCCCUCACUCCAUUGCCUGCUCUGUCCUUCCUUUAUACUUCCAAUUCAAUACCGCCUUCUGCAAGUCAGAAAAAUGGAGCCAUUGGGUUUGACCCCAGAUCACACAGCUCUUUUUGCAUAAGGCACAGGGAACACGUGGGGUUGUUGGGUUUGAAUUGACUACGGUUCAGCAUAUCGUCCUAAGAGACCUCCUGUGUUUGUUUAUCCACAAACUGUUGCUAUGCCCUGAGAUUCUUCUAGUGCGAGUAAAUGAAGAAGCCCUAUAUGGACUGGAGUAACAGCUAUUAAGAUAAGGCUUUGGGGC